AUUGAACGCUGGCGGCAGGCCUAACACAUGCAAGUCGAACGGUAGCACAGAGAGCUUGCUCUCGGGUGACGAGUGGCGGACGGGUGAGUAAUGUCUGGGAAACUGCCCGAUGGAGGGGGAUAACUACUGGAAACGGUAGCUAAUACCGCAUAACGUCGCAAGACCAAAGUGGGGGACCUUCGGGCCUCACACCAUCGGAUGUGCCCAGAUGGGAUUAGCUAGUAGGUGGGGUAAUGGCUCACCCAGGCGACGAUCCCUAGCUGGUCCGAGAGGAUGACCAGCCACACUGGAACUGAGACACGGUCCAGACUCCUACGGGAGGCAGCAGUGGGGAAUAUUGCACAAUGGGCGCAAGCCUGAUGCAGCCAUGCCGCGUGUAUGAAGAAGGCCUUCGGGUUGUAAAGUACUUUCAGCGGGGAGGAAGGCGGUGAAGUUAAUAGCUUCACCGAUUGACGUUACCCGCAGAAGAAGCACCGGCUAACUCCGUGCCAGCCGCCGCGGUAA
rnacentral:rRNA from 1 species